rnacentral:sRNA from 2 species
GAAAAAGUGAUCUAGGGUUCCGAUACAGCAGCGUAUGACUGGACCGAGAGUUCACGGUUCCUAGCGAACUACACGGAGGGAUAAAAGCCCGGGAGGA